UGGGGAAUAUUGGACAAUGGGCGAAAGCCUGAUCCAGCCAUGCCGCGUGAGUGACGAAGGCCUUAGGGUUGUAAAACUCUUUCGUCGGGGACGAUAAUGACGGUACCCGAAGAAGAAGCUCCGGCUAACUUCGUGCCAGCAGCCGCGGUAAUACGAAGGGAGCUAGCGUUGUUCGGAAUCACUGGGCGUAAAGCGCACGUAGGCGGAUAGUUAAGUCAGGGGUGAAAUCCUGGGGCUCAACCCCAGAACUGCCUUUGAUACUGGCUGUCUCGAGGUCGAGAGAGGUUGGUGGAAUUCCUAGUGUAGAGGUGAAAUUCGUAGAUAUUAGGAAGAACACCAGUGGCGAAGGCGGCCAACUGGCUCGAUACUGACGCUGAGGUGCGAAAGCGUGGGGAGCAAACGGGAUUAGAUACCCUGGUAGUCCCUGAGCGGGCUGGCAAGGCGCAU
rnacentral:rRNA from 1 species